CGGCCCCGCACCUGCGGCCGUGCGCCAUAUAUGGGGCAGCACCCGGCGCCGGCUCGUUCCGUGCUGCCGCUGUUUGCCUGGGAAAGGACAAUGCUGAUGGACUGCUGUGGAUAAAUGAUGUUCGUUCUGCACCUUGAGGGUGGGAUGCUGCCUUGCACAGGCUCUGUUCUGCUGUUCCCUCUGCUGAGAUGUCAGAAGGACUCCCCAGGCAUCCAUCCACACUGAACACCUCCAUGAGACCUCUCUGCCCCAGGAAGCAGGAAGAUGCCUUUAUAUGUCCCCUUUUAGCAGCUGCUGCAAACUUCUUUUAUGCUAAAGGUCAGCCCCGGUGGUGCACCCAUCCCUGCUGAGUGCUCAGCACCGGUCACGGAGCUGUCAGCCACGCUGUGCCUCAGUUUCCCCACUGCUGCUGGCUGCCAUGGGCUGCGUGCUGAGUUUCGGCGCAGUGUGUCUAAGAAGCCCCUUCCCCAUCCAUCUCGGUGUUCCCACUGCACAACACGGAGCACACCCACUGAUGAAGGCACACAGCAUCCUCAUCUGGCCGGGCUGCCUCAGCCACGUCGGUACUCAGAGCUACAGAUACAGAGGUAAGGCUGCAUUUUUGGUGAUCCUUUGUCCCCUGUUUUGCAGGAGCCAGCUGGGUCUCCCACCACAGACAGGGAAUUGCUGUGGGCUCCCUGUGCCCCAGAGCAGCAUUGAGGCAUUGAGCCAUUGCCCCUCCUGACCCCAGACCCUGCACACAGCAGGGCCUGAAAUGGCCCUUUCCCAGACAUCUCCGUAAGCAAUGCCUUCAGUCUCUGCUUAAUGACUCCCAGCCAUCCUUCCUCCUUGCAGAAGCCAGCAGCACAGCAGGCAGGGCAGAUCCCCAGCUCCUGCUCCCCCCAUUCCAAACAGCAACUUUGGGGUCUCAUAGCAAACCCCAUCCCACCAGCAGCAAACCCCCUAUUUCCAGGCCUGGCCCUGGUUUGUUCUCAUUUCCUUUCCUUACUGAGCCUCCCCCCAGGAAUGGGACGAUGUCUUUUACAGCUCUCCCUGCUUCCAGUGUAUCAGAAGCAUGCCAAGACAUUGCCCUCUCCCAGGGGUGAGGAGCAAAGUGCCCAAUGUGGAGACGAGAACUGAUCUGGUGCUGCUGCAGCUGAGGGGCACAGUGCAGGGCCACAGCCACGUGGGGACUGGGAUUGAACCCGGUGCAAGAAGCCCAGGAGGAAAUCCCAUCCCAAUGCUAUGGGGCAGAAACCCAAUGCUGCCCCCAAAAUCUUUCCCCACAGCCUCCAUCCUGCUGCCUUCCCCCCCAGUCCUCCUUCUCUCACCUUGCCUUCCUCCAUUGCAUCCAUCCUCCUCUCUGGUGCCUCUUGCUCCAUCUCUGGGCACUGCUUUCCCCUCCCCUCCUCCCUUCCCAACCCCUGAGCUCCAGCUAGUUUAGAUCUGCCCUGGGGUGAUGUAGGGGGGAACAGGGGCAGCACUGACCCCUCUCCAUACUCCCAGUUUGGCUCAGUCUGAGCCCUAUGGUUGGGAUGUCCCUCCCACACCCAGGGCUGCUGGCAGCAUCUGGCCCCACUCCAGAGAGGAGGAGGAGGUGGAAGAGGAGAUUCCCCCAUGGGCAGCACUGUGGUGCAAAAGGCUGAAAGGAGCUCUGGCCAGGAGCAGGGCCUUGUGUGGAGGUGGUGGGUGUGAGGAUGGCUGAGGAUGCUUUUGCCUAAAGAGCAGUGGGAUGUGAAGGCAAACAGUGGGAACAUUGCUCCUGGAGCGUGGUGGUGCUGCCCAGGGACUGCCCUGCUCUGCCUGUGAGCGUUGGGACCCGGCCCAUGCUGUGGUGAGCACAGCAUUUGAAUGCAGCCAACUGACCCCCAGGGCCUCAGGCAGUGCUGCAGAGCAGUGCUGGGGCUCACCAUGCAUCCUUGCUCAGUGCCAGGGUGUGCACAGUGCUGGGCAUGGCUCACACUGUCCGUUCUCUGCUCACCCUGCAGGACAGAUAUUGCCUAUAGCAAAAAAUUACCCUCCAUAGCAAAAAUACAACAAUCUCUACGGGCAGGACUCGUUCUGUGCCCUCCAUCCCAGCAUGACGAUGCCCACAGUGCUCCUACAGCACCACAGGGCAGUUCCCUGCUCUGGUGCAGGGCUUUGGGAUGAGGGUCCCCUCUCCUCCUCCUGCUCAGUGAGCGAUGCCUUCACAUGGCUGUCCCAAAGCUCCAGGCCCACUCAGCCCCGUGCUGCAACGCACAGAGCCGGAACAAAGCCGUGCUGCCUCAAAUUCCUCCAGUGCCGGGCUCGGGGCUCUGUGCUGCUUUCAGUUCCUAAAGCCAGCUUCGCGCUGUGCCCUGUCGGCCCACUCCCACGCUCCAGCACGGGGUAUCUUGACAGAUUGUUUGGUGGUUUGUUUGUUUGUUUUCUAUUUUAUAAUAAAAGGAAAAAAGCGAUUGCAAAGCAGAAAGGACCGUUUUGGGGGUACAUUUGGCAGUGAAAUCAGAGCUCGGGCUGGGAACCAGCAGGACAGCCUCCCUGCAGCCUCCCUGCGAUGCUCUCCAUGCACCGAACCCCGCACCACUCCUUCCUACACCAUCCCCCCGCUCACACCAAUGACUUUUAUUUUCGUACACGAAAAAGAAAACGCACAACGGAUUGGGAGCGUUAUUUUUCUGAACGCCACUUCGAAGAGUAAAAAUCUGAAAGCGUAAAUCCGGAGCAUCGUGGCAAAAUCCGGGCUCGGUUUAAAAACUAAAAGGGUUCUGCGAUUGUUUCUUUUCGUUUGUGAAAUAAUUCAACCCUCACCAAUAUUCCGGGCAGACGAGUGUUCGUUCGCCGUUUAAUCUCAGCGGUCGCACAACGAACCGAGAUUCCGAGGGGGUGAGAGAGUUCGGCGCAACGUAACUAUCAAAUAUCCCCCAAAGACUUAAAGCAAACCACACGUGGCUGCUUCUCUCGCUGCCCCACUGCCCGCAGCCAUCGGUGCAGGACGGAGGACCGCAGCGCUUCGCAGUGCCAUUAAGCAUUCGUUAAAACAUUUACUCGAUGGGCCGUAACAAAGCGCCGGAGCCGCGGGCGCACGCAGAGACUCCAUCGGACGGUUCUGCGGUGCAAAACCGUCGCGUUCAGAGCCGCGCAGCCCUCAGUCCCCUCUCAUCGCACCUCUCUCGGGCAGAUGCUGGAGGUGGAAGGGCUGCAGCUUACCCCGCUUUCUGCCGUCGGUUCUGGGCGUUCCGAUUUCGGGUUCCCCUCUCUCGGCCCGGAGCGCAGUGCCCGGCCCGUGGCAUCAGAGCCUGAGGGAUGGAGGGGGAAAGCAACGUGAGCCAGAAGCUCGCAGCGAGGUCUGUAAGUCCUUGUAUGGCAGAAAUAAACGUAUUACACCG
ensembl:lncRNA